rnacentral:rRNA from 1 species
AUUGAACGCUGGCGGCAGGCCUAACACAUGCAAGUCGAACGAGUGGCGGACGGGUGAGUUAUGUCUGGGAAACUGCCUGAUGGGGGGGGAUUACUACUGGAAACGGUAUCUAAUACCUCAUACCAUCAGAUGUGCCCAAGUGGGAUUAGCUAGUUGGUGGGGUAACGGCUCACCAAGGCGACGAUCCCUAGCUGGUCUGAGCGGAUGACCAGCCACACUGGAACUGAGACACGGUCCAGGAUCCUACGGGAGGCAGCAGUGGGGAAUAUUGCACAAGGGGCGCAAGCCUGAUGCAGCCAUGCCGCGUGUAUGAAGAAGGCCUUCGGGUUGUAAAGUACUUUCAGCGGGGAGGCGUUACCCGCAGAAGAAGCACCGGCUAACUCCGUGCCAGCCGCCGCGGUAAUAC